GAUGAACGCUGGCGGCGUGCCUAAUACAUGCAAGUCGAGCGAACGGACGAGAAGCUUGCUUCUCUGAUGUUAGCGGCGGACGGGUGAGUAACACGUGGAUAACCUACCUAUAAGACUGGGAUAACUUCGGGAAACCGUAGCUAAUACCGGAUAAUAUUUUGAACCGCAUGGUUCAAAAGUGAAGGACGGUCUUGCUGUCACUUAUAGAUGGAUCCGCGCUGCAUUAGCUAGUUGGUAAGGUAACGGCUUACCAAGGCAACGAUGCAUAGCCGACCUGAGAGGGUGAUCGGCCAUACUGGAACUGAGACACGGUCCAGACUCCUACGGGAGGCAGCAGUAGGGAAUCUUCCGCAAUGGGCGAAAGCCUGACGGAGCAACGCCGCGUGAGUGAUGAAGGUCUUCGGAUCGUAAAACUCUGUUAUUAGGGAAGAACAUAUGUGUAAGUAACUGUGCACAUCUUGACGGUACCUAAUCAGAAAGCCACGGCUAACUACGUG
rnacentral:rRNA from 1 species